rnacentral:rRNA from 1 species
CCUACGGGAGGCUGCAGUCGAGAAUCAUUCACAAUGGGGGAAACCCUGAUGGUGCGACGCCGCGUGGGGGAAUGAAGGUCUUCGGAUUGUAAACCCCUGUCAUGUGGGAGCAAAUUAAAAAGAUAGUACCACAAGAGGAAGAGACGGCUAACUCUGUGCCAGCAGCCGCGGUAAUACAGAGGUCUCAAGCGUUGUUCGGAAUCACUGGGCGUAAGGCGUGCGUAGGCUGUUUCGUAAGUCGUGUGUGAAAGGCGCGGGCUCAACCCGCGGACGGCACAUGAUACUGCGAGACUAGAGUAAUGGAGGGGGGACCGGAAUUCUCGGUGUAGCAGUGAAAUGCGUAGAUAUCGAGAGGAACACUCGUGGCGAAGGCGGGUUCCUGGACAUUAACUGACGCUGAGGCACGAAGGCCAGGGGAGCGAAAGGGAUUAGAUACCCCUGUAGUC